rnacentral:rRNA from 1 species
AGCUCCAAUAGCGUAUAUUAAAGUUGUUGCAGUUAAAAAGCUCGUAGUUGGAUUUCUGGUAGGAGUGACCGUUCCGGACUUGAUUGUCUGUGUAUUGUGUUGUCUCCAGCCAUCCUUGUGGAGAACUUUUCUUGCAUUAAUUUGUAGGGAUUGGGACCCGCAUCGUUUACUGUGAAAAAAUUAGAGUGUUUAAAGCAGGCAAUCGCUUGAAUACAUUAGCAUGGAAUAAUAAGAUAGGACUUUGGUACUAUUUUGUUGGUUUGCAUACCAAAUUAAUGAUCAACAGGAACAGUUUGAGGAUAUUCGUAUGAACAUGUCAGAGGUGAAAUUCUUGGAUUUUGAUCAGACGAACUACUGCGAAAGCAUUUAUCAAGGAUGUUUUCAUUAAUCAAGAACGAAA